AGCGAUACUGACGUGCAAAUCGUUCGUCUGACUUGGGUAUAGGGGCGAAAGACUAAUCGAACCAUCUAGUAGCUGGUUCCCUCCGAAGUAUCCCUCAGGAUAGCUGGAGCCCAUUACGAGUUCUAUCAGGUAAAGCCAAUGAUUAGAGGCAUUGGGGACGCAACGUCCUCGACCUAUUCUCAAACUUUAAAUAGGUAGGAUGGCUCGGCUG
rnacentral:ncRNA from 1 species